rnacentral:lncRNA from 1 species
CAUCUCUCUCUCUCAUACACACAAACAAAGCAGGUCUUUGCAAUGUGUUGAUGAAAAGAUUUAAUCAUUGACUAUAUUAUAACUAUGUAUCCGAAAUGCAUGUGGAUGGUGUGUUUGAAGUGAAUUAUAUUGUUGUGUGUUUGACAUAGAUUGUAGGCUUAGGGUUGAUCUCUUCAGGAAUAUUGACUAUUGUGCUUCAAUGCACCAAGAUUCAAUUUCUCUUAAGGUCAAUUGUUGCUCCAAUAAUUGAUCAGCAACAAGGGGACAAUGAGAGAGAGAGUGAGAGGCUUCAGGGUAGACCAAGAAGGGGAAGGAUGGAAACCACUCGACGAUAAGAGAAGUACGACUAGGUUGGAAGGGGACAACUAAGGUUACCUCAUUCUACUUUUCGCAUUUUCCUGAAGAAUACAAAGAAAGAUCUUCAGAAAGAGGGGGAAGGUAUGUGACAUUUUCAUAUGAACACGCUAAGCAAUUAAUUAAAGAGGAUGAAGAAUGGCCUUUGUCCAUGUUUGAAGCUGUUUAGCAGUGGCAUCCCUCUAUUACAACUAAAAAAGACUGGCUUGGAUCCAUUGUUGUGGGCUUCCUCUAAAUUACUGGGGAUAUCACUCAUUCAAACAGUUGGCGAGCACCUUGGGCACACUGAUUUCAGAACUAACUUGAUCUUCAUCAACUUUUUGCUUCUUGUUCCAUAAUUUAGUGUUUUUCUCUUUUACUGAAAAAGCAAUUUACUCCUCCUCCAAUGGAUUUAAAGCAAAGCUUUUUUCUUUCAUUUUUACUUUGAGAAUGUAUUUGUCAUCGACAUCUUUAAUCAAACAUUUUUUGUUCUCAAACAAUACUUUGUAACCUUUCUUAAUUAGUUGUCCAACACUCCACAAAUUCUAAUCAAAUUCAAGAAAAUACAACACAUCAGAAAUAAGCUUUGUACCUUUGUUGGUUGAGAUUGUUAUAGUUCUUUUUUCACUCACAGUAAUGCACUUGUCAUCUCCAACUCCAACCUUCAAUGUGCAUGAUAUAUUUGGGUCCUUGAAUAGAUC